AUUAAAUCAAAAUGGAUGGCUGAGAUCAAAAGGCAAAAGGGUAUAAAUAAGACCCACACACCAGACCACAAAACCCUAGCCGCCUGCCCUCGCCGGAGAAGACGAACCAGAAGCCGGCCGCCGCCACCCACCGCCGCACCGGAGGGAUUUCUGACCGCCGAUCGAGGUAAAUUUCAUACCCCCGACUCGUUUUUCCACGCUGAUUUCCCCUGUGGUCAAAUCGGAGCCAAAAUCUCGGCCAAACGGCCGAAGCCCAGCGGCGCCGCCGCGCCCCUUUUCGGUUUUUGCCUCCGAUGAGGCCCUUCCCGGCCUCCGUUUAAUGCAAUUUUUAUAUCACCGUGAUCACCAUUCUUUUCUCUACAGGUUGAUCGGAGCCGAAUCACCAAAACACGAACUUCACCGGAGAGCCGCCACACCCGAUAGCACCGCCGCCGGUAAGCUUCGGUUUUUCGUAAUUUUUUGGCCCCCCGAGGGCCCUAGAGUUGUUUAAUCACAAGAAUCGAUGCAAGUGUGGCCGAAUUCGGCCGAAAACGGCUGAAAACAGCCAAACCGAGGCGAAUCGCCGCCGCUUGCGGCGGCGCCGUCGCCGGAGCACGGCGGAGCCGCCGUGCCGGAAAUGCGAUAUUGGCCGAAAGGGGCCCUGGGCCUAAUUUGGGAUUUUUUGGAACACGUGCAGGUACCAGUAGUGCGUUUCAGUUCCCCGAAAAAAAUUCAGGAAAAAUUAGGGACAGCCUGUAGGCGCACUGUGAAGCCGUGUUCGGACCCCGAAACGUGUAAGGACCCCUCAUCCUAUUUCCUAUCACGGUUUUAAAGUUCAAUAAAUGAUAAAACGGUAUUUCAUGAAUCACGAAUGUG
rnacentral:lncRNA from 1 species